rnacentral:rRNA from 1 species
UCAUGCCCUUAUGACCUGGGCUACACACGUGCUACAAUGGUUGGUACAACGAGUUGCGAGUCGGUGACGGCGAGCUAAUCUCUUAAAGCCAAUCUCAGUUCGGAUUGUAGGCUGCAACUCGCCUACAUGAAGUCGGAAUCGCUAGUAAUCGCGGAUCAGCACGCCGCGGUGAAUACGUUCCCGGGCCUU